GCUGUAGCUCAUAGGUAGAACAUCUGCUUUGCAUGCAGAAGGUCCCAGGUUCGACCCCUGGUUUCUCCA
rnacentral:tRNA from 1 species